UCUCCGUUGGUGAACCAGCGGAGGGAUCAUUACCGAGUUUACAACUCCCAAACCCCUGUGAACAUACCAUUUGUUGCCUCGGCGGUACCUGCUUCGGCAGCCCGCCAGAGGACCCAAACCCUUGAUUUUAUACAGUAUCUUCUGAGUAAAUGAUUAAAUAAAUCAAAACUUUCGACAACGGAUCUCUUGGUUCUG
rnacentral:misc_RNA from 1 species